GUGUGUGUGUGUGUGUGUGUGUGUGGAAAAAGUCCUCUACUGGUGAAGCAAUGUACAGUACUGUGAUUAAAAAAAAGAAAAAGCCUUCAUCUGCACUGGAUCAGGAAAAUGGUGUGAUCUACAGCUCUGUAGUCACAGCUACAAAAAACGACACUCUCUCUCCAGCAGGUGGAGAUGAUGGGGUGAUCUACAACUCUGUGGUCAGUAAUUAAGAGGUGUAAGCAGAUGAAUUUCUGGACAAACUACCUGAGCAGAGAGGACACUGUAAUACAAGUGACCUGUUAAAUGGAUAUAGACUAUAGAUUAU